UACGUAGGGCGCAAGCGUUAUCCGGAAUUAUUGGGCGUAAAGAGCUCGUAGGCGGCUUGUUGCGUCAGCUGUGAAAACCCGCAGCUCAACUGUGGGCUUGCAGCUGAUACGGGCAGGCUAGAGUUCGGUAGGGGAGACUGGAAUUCCAGGUGUAGCGGUGAAAUGCGCAGAUAUCAGGAGGAACACCGGUGGCGAAGGCGGGUCUCUGGGCCGAUACUGACGCUGAGGAGCGAAAGCGUGGGGAGCGAACAGG
rnacentral:rRNA from 1 species